rnacentral:rRNA from 1 species
UGCAAGUCGACGGCAGCACAGUAAGAGCUUGCUCUUAUGGGUGGCGAGUGGCGGACGGGUGAGGAAUACAUCGGAAUCUACCUUUUCGUGGGGGAUAACGUAGGGAAACUUACGCUAAUACCGCAUACGACCUUCGGGUGAAAGCAGGGGACCUUCGGGCCUUGCGCGGAUAGAUGAGCCGAUGUCGGAUUAGCUAGUUGGCGGGGUAAAGGCCCACCAAGGCGACGAUCCGUAGCUGGUCUGAGAGGAUGAUCAGCCACACUGGAACUGAGACACGGUCCAGACUCCUACGGGAGGCAGCAGUGGGGAAUAUUGGACAAUGGGCGCAAGCCUGAUCCAGCCAUACCGCGUGGGUGAAGAAGGCCUUCGGGUUGUAAAGCCCUUUUGUUGGGAAAGAAAAGCAGUCGAUUAAUACUCGGUUGUUCUGACGGUACCCAAAGAAUAAGCACCGGCUAACUUCGUGCCAGCAGCCGCGGUAAUACGAAGGGUGCAAGCGUUACUCGGAAUUACUGGGCGUAAAGCGUGCGUAGGUGGUUGUUUAAGUCUGUUGUGAAAGCCCUGGGCUCAACCUGGGAAUUGCAGUGGAUACUGGGCGACUAGAGUGUGGUAGAGGGUAGUGGAAUUCCCGGUGUAGCAGUGAAAUGCGUAGAGAUCGGGAGGAACAUCCAUGGCGAAAGGCAGCUACCUGGACCAACACUGACACUGAGGCACGAAAGCGU